rnacentral:misc_RNA from 1 species
UGGGCUCGAACGGCUGUCCAACGGUCGUGGAAACACGGCUACUCCGCAAGGGGGUACAGUCGAGGUGCUGCAUGGCUGUCGUCAGCUCGUGUCGUGAGAUGUUGGGUUAAGUCCCGCAACGAGCGCAGCCCUUGUCCUGUGUUGCCAUGCGGCCGGGUAACUGGCCGCGGAACUCGCAGGAGACCGCCAGCGAUAAGCUGGAGGAAGGUGGGGAUGACGUGCCCUUCCAUCACA